AGGGUGGUUUGGGGUGGUUUUUGGGUGGUUUUCGGGGCGCUGCCCGCUCUGUCCCCCCAGAUGAGGAGAUCGAGAUCACCUUCAGCUACUGGGACGGCUCCGGGCACCGGCGAACGGUCAAGAUGAAGAAGGGGAACACGAUGCAGCAGUUCCUGCAGAAAGCUCUGGAAAUUCUGCGCAAGGAUUUCAGUGAGCUCCGCUCGGCCGGGGUGGAGCAGCUCAUGUACAUCAAGGAGGAUCUGAUCAUCCCGCAUCACCACAGCUUCUACGACUUCAUCGUCACCAAGGCACGCGUGAAAAGCGG